CGAACGGACUGGUCAAUUUAUUGAGCAGUUAGUGGCGAAAGGGUUAGUAACGGGUAGGUAACGUACCCUGUGCUUUGGGAUAGCGUCAUCCCGACUUCGGUCGGGAUUUCCGAAAGGGGCGGUAAUACCAAAUAAUAUCAUUUGUCGAUAGGCGGAUGAUCAAAGAUUUAUCGGCAUAGGAGCGGCCUGCCUCCUAUCAGCUUGUUGGUGAGGUAACGGCUCACCAAGGCAGCGACGGGUAGCGGGACUGAGAGGUUGGCCCGCAACAUCGGGACUGAGACACUGCCCGGACCUCCACGGAGGGCUGCAGUAACGAAUAUUGUGCAAUGGGCGAAAGCCUGACACAGCGACGCCGCGUGUAGGAGGAAGUCCUUCGGGAUGUAAACUACUGUCAGGGGGAAGAAAGUCCCGACACGUCGGGAUUGAUCUAACCCAGAGGAAGUCACGGCUAACUUCGUGCCAGCAGCCGCGGUAAGACGAAGGUGGCAAGCGUUGUUCGGUAUUACUGGGCUUAAAGCGUGUGUAGGCGGAAAAGUAAGCGUUUCGUGAAAGCCCCCGGCUUAACCGGGGAACUGCGCAACGAACUGCUUUUCUUGAGGCAAGUAGGGGUGCAUGGAACUCUUGGUGGAGCGGUGGAAUGCGUAGAUAUCAAGAGGAACGCCAGUGGAGAAAUCGGUGCACUGGGCUUGUCCUGACGCUGAGACACGAAAGCGUGGGUAGCGAACGGGAUUAGAUACCCCGGUAGUCCACGC
rnacentral:rRNA from 1 species